rnacentral:rRNA from 1 species
UACAUGUGGGGCAAGCGUUGUUCGGAAUUACUGGGCUUAAGGGUGCGUAGGUGGCUUGUUAAGUCAGGGGUGAAAGUUUUCGGCCCAACCGGAAAAUGGCCUUUGAUACUGGCGAGCUCGAGUGCGUGAGGGGUAACCGGAACGAGCAGUGUAGCGGUGAAAUGCGUAGAUAUUGCUCGGAAGGCCAACGGCGAAGGCAGGUUACUGGUGCGCAACUGACACUGAGGCACGAAAGCGUGGGGAGCAAACAGG